AUGGGCGGAAUCUACAGUUAUUUCUACCCAGAGUCUUCAGGGGAAAUCACAGUUGUCGCUCAGACAGAGACCUAUCAGGACACAGACAGGUCACGAGAGCAACAAGGUGAUAAGAAUAACACCGGGAAUUUCCUGGGGGAAUCACCAAGUGCCUUAGGUGCCAAUGACAACAUUGAGGAUGUGGACAAGUUCAAUGUCCUUGUGAGGUGUGCGGGAAAGACCUUGGACAUAGACGUGUUCCCUCUGGAGAGAAUAGCAGUUCUGUUGGAAAAUGUAUGUCAACAGGCAGGAAAGAAACGCAGCACAAUGAAGCUUGUUUACAACGGUAGGCUAUCUAUCCACAUGAUGCAUCCUUAUGAGUUAAAGCAGUAUGCCAGUUGUUUAUUUCAUAUUUAUUGUUGUUGUUUUGUUGUUGACUGAUGUAGAACAAGGUAAUGAGAGUCUUACAUAGGCCAGGUAAUUCGCAGUUAAACACUUAGCUGUAAAAGUAUUGUAUGCUAAGGUAUGAAUGGAAAUUGUCUUUCUUUAAUAAUAAAAAAAAACAGCUUCUAAAAGAUUGGUUUGAUGACUUCUGUUUGCAGGGGAAAUGCUGGACGAGAGCAAAACAGUGAAACACUAUAAACUACGAAGAGGAAACUCAGUCAACCUCAUUCAUGCCUAAGUCAAUGUGUUACUUAUUCUUACUGUAUGUGUCAUCAUAGCUGCAUAAAGCAGAAUAUAAUAUCAAUUGGUAUCUGUGUCUCAAAACUGAGUAAGGCUAUGAGAUGCACUACACAUAAAUUGUAUUACAUAGUAUCAUCACCUACGAUUUUAUAAGCUAAUCUUUGAGUGCUGGUGCCCUUGCAUUACAUUGUAAAAACCUAUUGAGGCCCUAGCAUUACAUUGUAAAAACCCAUUGAGGCCCUAGCAUUACAUUUUACCAUUAGACCUACCUGCAAUUUUGUCCUGUCUAUUUGCUUUUAACAAUAAAACUGAUAUUUAUCCAGACUUGUGAUAAUUGUAGGCUACUUAUUCUACAAGAUCACAAUGAAUAUUCAAUUCGUAUAAUGUUAAGAAGCUAAAACUAAUGCAAGAAAUCAUCAGGAUACAACAGCAAACUAGAUUAUAAUAAAAUAUUGAGCUAACGUUAAUAUGCCUACAUGGUUCCCUGACAAAAAGGUGUAGUCCUAGACCAGGCUUCAAAUGACCGCCAACACAUGUGCAGCGAAACGGUGAAAUUUAGCCUACUUCAUAAUAAGCCAAUUUACAUCCAAGACCUAGAAGGCCAAAUUAUAUUAUUUCUUACUUCAAAUAACUUACAAGUUGCGUGAACAUCAUCGUGGUUCAUGAACUCACGUGUUUACUGAGACAUAAAAUGGCAAGCGAAAAAAAAUGUGGGUCCUAUAGGUCAUUUAUAGUGCGUCAUAAACUUAAUUUUAUUUUACCAAAAUACAUUACACACUAAUGCAAUUGUGCUAUAGAAUUGUUUGUUUCUAGUUCAAAAUGAGUCUAUAUUGACUUAUUUUCUAACUGCUUACAAGCUUACCUCACCUGGCAGUUUAGGCUACCACUUGAACUAGCCUGUAGGCCCUAGGCCUAGCUCAUACAUUGUUUGUGCAUCAAUAACUACAACGUUUUAUUUGACCAAAACACGUUAAAACCCGAAUGGAAUUAUGUUAAUUGUUCAAAAUGUGUGGAAUAUUUUUCACUUUUGUUAUAUUUGUCAACUUUCUUUACCUGGUUGGCUACGUGGAUCUACUCCAGAAUGGCGCUCUUCUCCCAAUGCGCAUUGUGGUGGGUUUAAUCCAAAAACCGAAAAAGUUGUUUUUCAUAAGUAGCCUAAUUACUAUGCACAAAUAAAGGCAAAUUAAGCUUUCAUUAAUUAACGCAACGGUGACUUAAUUUUACCAAGUUAAUCACAGAAAUUCUGAUUCGUGGUGGACGCAUCACCGUUUACACACAUACUCCUGCCGUUACUGUACCACGAGUGAUCAAUUAUCGCUACCUCCAUACUCAAUAAAGAUUCUUGC
rnacentral:lncRNA from 8 species